rnacentral:tRNA from 1 species
CAGAGAAUAGUUUAUAAAAAAUGAUAAUUUUGGAGAUUAUUGAAGGGUUUUCUCUUCUCUGA